ACCAGACUCCUACGGGAGGCAGCAGUAGGGAAUCUUCCACAAUGGGCGAAACCCUGAUGCAGCAACGCCGCGUGAGUGAAGAAGUCAUUCGUGAUGUAAAGCUCUCUCAGCAGGGAAGAAAAUGACGGUACCUGACUAAGAAGCCCCGGCUAACUACGUGCCAGCAGCCGCGGUAAUACGUAGGGGGCAAGCGUUAUCCGGAUUUACUGGGUGUAAAGGGAGCGUAGACGGCAGCGCAAGUCUGAAGUGAAAUGCCGGGGCUUAACCCCGGAACUGCUUUGGAAACUGUGCAGCUAGAGUGCAGGAGAGGUAAGUGGAAUUCCUAGUGUAGCGGUGAAAUGCGUAGAUAUUAGGAGGAACACCAGUGGCGAAGGCGGCUUACUGGACUGUAACUGACGUUGAGGCUCGAAAGCGUGGGGAGCAAACAGGAUUAGAUACCCUCGUA
rnacentral:rRNA from 1 species